AAUCAACGCUGGCGGCGUGCCUCAGACAUGCAAGUCGAACGCGAAAUUUCCCUUCGGGGAGAAAGUAGAGUGGCGUCCGGGUGAGUAACACGUGGGUAAUCUACCUUCGGGUGGGGAAUAACAGUCGGAAACGACUGCUAAUACCGCAUAAUGCAGCGGCACCUAAUGGUGACAGUUGUUAAAGCGGGGGAUCGCAAGACCUCGCGCCUGAAGAGGAGCCCGCGGCGGAUUAGCUAGUUGGCAGGGUAACGGCCUACCAAGGCGACGAUCCGUAGCCGGCCUGAGAGGGCGGUCGGCCACACUGGCACUGACACACGGGCCAGACUCCUACGGGAGGCAGCAGUCGGGAAUUUUGGGCAAUGGGCGCAAGCCUGACCCAGCAACGCCGCGUGAAGGAUGAAGUAUUUCGGUAU
rnacentral:rRNA from 1 species